GGGAGACCUGCUGGGCAAGCCACUCUAGGAAGAUCUGCUAGGUUAUAUAAGAGGAGGAAGACGACCAUCUCAUUCUAUCAAUGAUAACAAGAACGUCAUGGACGAUGGCGGUGUGAUCACCGCCUUAACGGCCUCCGCACAUUAGAAUCACCGCCUCCUCUCUCUCUCUCUCUCUCUCUCGCUGUGUCGUUGAGUACGUGUAAUCAUAGUAUGACGAUUAAGCCCUACAUGAAAUGUAUUUGUAUCCAUGGCCUUUCGAGUGUUUUUUUGGCGGCACUCUGUGGGACAUGAAAAGGAUAUAUGUAUAAAUAAAACAGUUGUUUAUUUAUUUAUUUGCCGUUAAGGCGUAACAGAGCGGGUCAGGAGAAGAGCGUGGGCCCUUCUAAAAAUCUGAAAGCCUGGAAUUUAGUUAAAAUUAAAUAUAUAUUUAAAAUUUGAUCAUUUUUAGACCCCUUUUUUUUAAUUAACAAUUAACAUAGAAUUUUAAAUUUGACGUAAUCUUGGUGUAUGGAAUUUUCAGAGAGGGAAAAUUUGGGUUUGUUUUAGGUACGAAUGAAAGAAAUAGAAACAUAUUGGAGUUAUUCGUAAAUAUGAAAAUGUGCAGACCUGACGCAGCGGCCGUUGGCGAUGUGGAAUCGAUGGGCCAAUAGCCGUCCUCCGCCUGGCUAGCCAGUCGGGUAUGGAGCACCCAGCGACGGUGGCGGAGGGCGCUGGCCGCCGGCGGGCGGUGGCGGGGCAGCGGCGCUACGUUUUCUCCUCCUUCUCCUUCCAGUCCCCGCAGCGAGACGGAGGCCCUGCGCCUGUGCAGUCGCAGGCGACGACGGGGACGGCGGUGGCGGAGAAGGAGAGAUCGGAGAGAUCGGAAAGAUCGGGGGGAUCGGAAUUUCUCCGGCAGAGGGGAUUGGGAACCGGCCGAUUCCCGGCAGCACCGUGUGUACCGCCAGUUCUGUCGAUGUUAAAUGCAGGAGGCAUUGCCGGAGAAUGGGAGAAGUGGCGGAGAAGCAAAGAAGAUGCAAGGGGUCACGCGAGCGGUCACCUCCGCAAGCGGACACCGCCGGUCUGGCAGGUCGCCGGAGUGGGAAAACAACGGCGGAUGGCUCAGCAGGUCGUUGCCGUAAGCGGAGGGUGCGUCCGCUUGUCGCCUGGAAGGUUUUCCGCCAAUCCUCAUCUCCUUCUGAGUAAAGCUCGGCCCAAUAUACACUCCUACGUCAUGAUGUCGCAUGGCAUAAGUCUCUGGGCUGUGGAUCUUGGGCCACUCUGCUCCACCAACUGGCCUUCUCCUUCGCCGGCGCCGGCGACGGAUCCGGGCUGCUCUGCCAUCAUCUUCUCUCCUCCCGCCCCCGUCUCACAGUGUGCUGUCUUAGAGAUCAUCCAUACCAGAGAAGCCCUUCUCCUCGGUGCCCUAGCUGCGGAUACCUGGAGCCGCCGGCGAGGUCCCUCUUUUCUCCCAUUGGAGGUCAUUCCCCUGCGUGAUCGAGAGCUUGAGGCCUCAUCUUCUUUGGAGAGAGAAGCGCCGCCGUCGUCGAGAUGAGUUCGCGCCUGCAGAUGCCCGCAAAUGAUUCCGUCCUCCUCCGCGUCACACACUCCAACCUGAAGUCCUUCUCCGCCGACGUCCGCUUCUACCGCGAU
rnacentral:lncRNA from 1 species